rnacentral:rRNA from 1 species
UACGUAGGGGGCAAGCGUUGUCCGGAAUCAUUGGGCGUAAAGAGCGUGUAGGCGGCCCGGUAAGUCCGCUGUGAAAGUCCAGGGCUCAACCCUGGGAUGCCGGUGGAUACUGUCGGGCUCGAGUCCGGAAGAGGCGAGUGGAAUUCCUGGUGUAGCGGUGAAAUGCGCAGAUAUCAGGAGGAACACCAAUAGCGAAGGCAGCUCGCUGGGACGGUACUGACGCUAAGGCGCGAAAGCGUGGGGAGCGAACAGG